GUUUGUCACGUCGUCUGUGAAAUCCUCCAGCUCAACUGGGGGCGUGCAGGCGAUACGGGCAGACUUGAGUACUACAGGGGAGACUGGAAUUCCUGGUGUAGCGGUGAAAUGCGCAGAUAUCAUGAGGAACACCGGUGGCGAAAGCGGGUCUCUGGGUAGUAACUGACGCUGAGGAGCGAAAGCAUGGGGAGCAAACAGGAUUAGAUACCCUGGUAGUCCAUGCCGUAAACGGUGGGCGCUACGUGUGGGGUCCUUCCACGGAUUCCGUGCCGUAGCUAACGCAUUAAGCGCCCCGCUUGGGGAGUAACGGCCGCAAGGCUAAAACUCACAGGAAUUGACGGGGGCCCGCACAAGCGGCGGAGCAUGUGGAUUUAAUUCGAUGCAACGCGAAGAACCUUACCUAGGCUUGACAUAUACAGGACGACGGCAGAGAUGUCGUUUCCCUUGUGGCUUGUAUACAGGUGGUGCAUGGUUGUCGUCAGCUCGUGUCGUGAGAUGUUGGGCUAAGUCCCGCAACGAGCGCAACCCCUGUCUCAUGUUGCCAGCACGUUAUGGUGGGGACUCGUGAGAGACUGCCGGGGUCAACUCGGAGGAAGGUGGGGAUGACGUCAAAUCAUCAUGCCCCUUAUGUCUAGGGCUUCACACAUGCUACAAUGGUUAGUACAGAGGGCUGCGAGACCGCGAGGUGGAGCGAAUCCCUUAAAGCUAGUCUCAGUUCGGAUUGGGGUCUGCAACUCGACCACAUGAAGUCGGAGUCGCUAGUA
rnacentral:rRNA from 1 species